UUCUUUUUCCUUCUUUCAUCUCUCGUCAUAUCUAUGUAUAUAUUCUUUCUCAAAACAAUUCUAUAUUGUUUAUAAAUAAUUGGCCUGCCUCGUUUUAAGUAUUGUAACCCUCGAUCACCGCUACCCUUUCCGAUUGAUCUGAGCCUCAGGGCUCUGCCUGACUAAGUUGUUGGGAUUUGGUCUCGGGAUCGGGACAAGGUUGAUUUAGGGGUACUAUACUUAACACGAGUGCAUUAUAUAUUUUUCUAUAUCUUAAAAGUUAUACCCAAAAUUUAUACCAGGAGUCCUUCUAGUUGAACCCUAAAGUUACACAGUGAGUCCAUUCCUUUUCCCCACCAUUCUACUCUCUUUUUAUAAGUUACCCAAAACUAUUACUUAUUAUUUAUUAUUUCUAUUUUAUAAACAAACUUUCAUGAAAAGUCAUGCCUAUUAUUUUAUUUACCCAAUAGGGAACCAUAGUUGAGACACCCAAGUAAUCCUGCACAACCCCUAAAAUUUCCAGAACAAUCAGAAUCAGGAUCAGGGCCCCUAAAACUCAGGGGGGGCAAAACCCUAGUUACGAUAAUCUAAAUAACUUUCUGGCCGUUUAGAAUUUUAUAAUUUCAUCGACUCAGCUAAGCUACUUAGACACGAAGCUACCUAUAGAAAAUAGGUUACCACUCGCGUAGCGCGACGCCCAUGGGGGGUACCCCUCGCGCUACGCGACGGUGUCAAAAUUCGGGUAUAAAUAGAGGGGGUUGGGACUUGAAUUCUGUCUUUGGAACGACGUAAAUCCGAGUUACGUAGAUCAAGUUAUCACAGAAACAGUCCAACACACACACUAUAUCGAAUCGCUGCCGCAGAACAGGGUAAUUACUCGAUCGCUAUUACGAUUCAGUUUCCGGGAUCAAUAUACCCAAAGAAUGUCUAAGUGCCGCCCACAUUGGGUUAUGCUUUGUCGUUGUCGAUAAUUCGAUAAUGAGUUGAAGCAUUGUACUUUGUCGUUGUCGAUAAUUCGAUAAUGAGUUGAAGUACUAUACUUUGUCGUUUGUCAUUUUGAUAAAUGAGUUGAAGUAUUGCACUUGGUCAUUCAUUGUGAGAAUUUGAUCUCGGGAAAUUAUCGUAACUGCUGUAUUGAGCAUUAACCCGGUUUUUGUGAAAAUCGUUAAGAUUGAUUUAGGUUUUUCACCAAUACUUAUUCCAUUAUGUUAAACCACCAGAAAUACUCCCAACUACACCCUUACAAUCAAAUAAACUAUUAAAUCAUCAGAAGAUCCAGAAUAAUAAAGUGCAUGCUUAAUUAUCGGAAGAAAUAGAAUCAAGAAGUUGUUAACUCAAUCCUGCAUGCUGAUUUGUAAUUACAGUAGAUUGGAGUAAGGAUUGGAUCCGGCACUAAAAGACUUCAAGAAGUGGCUUAUUUUAUUAAUUAAAUCAACUUAAGAAAUAUUGUUUUCAUUGAAAGCUACCUUUGUAAAACAUGGAAUUUAUUCCAUCUAUUUCAAUAAAAAUCCGGUGU
rnacentral:lncRNA from 1 species